GGAAUUGACGGGACCCGCACAAGCGUGGAUGAUGUGGUUUAAUUCGAUGCAACGCGAAAACCUUACCCACCUUUGACAUGUACGGAAUCCUUUAGAGAUAGAGGAGUGCUCGAAAGAGAGCCGUAACACAGGUGCUGCAUGGCUGUCGUCAGCUCGUGUCGUGAGAUGUUGGGUUAAGUCCCGCAACGAGCGCAACCCUUGCCAUUAGUUGCUACGAAAGGGCACUCUAAUGGGACUGCCGGUGACAAACCGGAGGAAGGUGGGGAUGACGUCAAGUCCUCAUGGCCCUUAUAGGUGGGGCUACACACGUCAUACAAUGGCUGGUACAGAGGGUUGCCAACCCGCGAGGGGGAGCCAAUCCCAUAAAGCCAGUCGUAGUCCGGAUCGCAGUCUGCAACUCGACUGCGUGAAGUCGGAAUCGCUAGUAAUCGCGGAUCAGAAUGUCGCGGUGAAUACGUUCCCGGGUCUU
rnacentral:rRNA from 1 species